CCUCUUCUCACUUUUUUAACAUGCUUAUUAGUCAUAAUUUCUUAAGAUGUUAUUUAACUGUUAUUUUAGAAUAAAAAGAUUAAGGCCUUUACUAUCUAUUUUCAUUGGUACUAAAAAGAUGGUAAAUUGGUAGUGUUCAGUUCCGGGCAAACAUUUUCUUCAAGAGGUUUUUGUCAGAUUGAUGAAUGUGAAAUUAAGAGGACCCAUUUUGAGAAUGCAUCAAGAGAGAUAAAGUCUAAAAUGUGAUACUGUCAAUGUGACUAACCUUGAAGUAAACAGAUGACACAAUGUUUUUUCAAUGUCAUGGGCAUAUAAUGAAGAGAAAACAGAGAUGCUUGUUUGACAGAUACAGUAAUAGUAGGAGUUAUGAGGGAAGAUAGAUUGCAGUGAUAACUAUAUUGAGGCACCACUUCAUCACCAAGAACAUGAGAUGACUUAUCAAUGUUUUCAAUGUGUUUGAACACCCAUUUUAAAUAAUACAGCUCAGAGUGAAUUUUUCAAAAUAAUUAGUUCUGUUUUCAAAGUUUUUUUAUUUAGAUGUUAGUUGAUCUUGUCAAGUACUUUAUUUUUUUAGGGAUGGCAACAAAUACUAAAAUCAAUACUCGAGUACUCGGUCAUUUUUCAGAUCGAGUAUUCGGUUACUCUGAUGAUUUCCAAUGAUCUUUAAAUUUUUAUCACACAAUAUCAACACCAUUUGCAUGCUAUCUUCAUUUUCUAUUUUAAUUCAUAGAAUUUGUAGCUAUAAAUAGGAUUGCAAGAAAUACAUAUAAUAAAUAUAAACAUAAGAAAUGUCAAUGACAGCAUUUAUUAUAUACCUAUAAAUUUUCUUCCUGAAACACAGGAUAAUCUUGAAGCGCAAAUAGGCUUCAACGGUUAGAAAAUUCUGUAUUAUGUUAGAGACAAAUACAGUACCAUAUAUGAAAGGACUGGACUAUUUUUGACGUUGGUUCUGAUCUUAGCUGUGUAUAACGUAGUAUAUGGAAACGGCAACCAAAAUAAUAAAAGGUGUGGCUGGUUUUGCACAAAUUAGGUAUUCAUCUGUCAGUCAUAAUUUAUUUCUUGACAGCUACAUUUCUUUUUCUGAAAUUUCUUAUAUAAGUGUAGUAUAAUGAAAAUCAUUUAUACUUCAAACGAAAAGGUAUAUUAUAAAAGGAAAAUUAUGUUGUAGUAGCUUUCUGAGGCUAUGCAUUUUUCUACUUGCAAUGUUGGAAAAUUGAUAUCUAGCUCGCCCUUUGGUCUCGCAAGAUAUCAAUUUCCCACCGCUGCAAAAUACAAAGCCCCAGAGAGCUACUACAACAUAAUAUUCUGUAUAUAUAUUUAUUUAUAAUUAACAAGUUUGGGCUAUCCUUGAAUUUUUUUUUUUAUUCAAUCAAGUUUGAAUUUUUUAAAAUAAAUUUAUAUGAAUGCAUGCAGCUUUGAAAUAGUUUUUACCUAUGUAUAUUUGGCAGUAAUUUCACAUGUAGCUCUUCGGAAAAAAAAUCACUUGAGCAAAAAAAUUAUAUAGGCAUAAAGUGAUACCCCGUUCUGUCAUCAUCAGUUUUUUUUUUUUGUAUGGUUUUUGUGUCGCCUCUGUCGUCUGUCUGUCCGUCACAAAACUUGUCCGGACUACUCCUCAUAAACUACUGGUGCAAUUUCAUCCAAACUUUACAGGAAUGAUCAGUACCAAAUAUAGUUGUGCAUAUUGUCAGCAUUUUCCGGUUCAUUGAUUUUUGUCAGAGUUAUGGCCCUUUAAUAAUUUUUAAUUUUAAAGUUUGUCUGGACUACUUCUCUUAUACCACUAAUGCAAUUUCAAUGAAACUUUACAGGAUUGAUCUGUAGCUCCAGUCCUUGCGCAUAUUGCACGGGUUUUCGUGUUAAAUGAUUUUUGGCCGAGUUAUGGCCCUUUGAUAAAAAGGUGUUUUUUUCUGUGUGUUGCCAGAUACACUAAACCUUGUCCGGACUACUCCUCAUUAACUACUGGUGCAAUUUUAUCCAAACUUUACAGGAAUGAUCAGUACCAAGACUAGUUGUGCACUGUCCGUCUGUCACAAAAUUUGACCCAACAUGAAAUUGUCCAUCAUGAGGCGACACAUGUGAUUACUGAUCGCUCUUGUAUUUAAGAAAUAUGUUGUUCCAGUUAUUUACAGAUGUUUGUAUGAUUAUUGGAAUAAAUACAGUUAAAGUA